rnacentral:rRNA from 1 species
UGAGUAACCUGCCCUUAACUCUGGGAUAAGCCUGGGAAACUGGGUCUAAUACCGGAUAUGACUCCUCAUCGCAUGGGUGGGGGGGUGGAAAGCUUUAUUGUGGUUUUGGAUGGACCCGCGGCCUAUCAGCUUGUUGGUGAGGUAAUGACUCACCAAGGCGACGACGGGUAGCCGGCCUGAGAGGGUGACCGGCCACACUGGGACUGAGACACGGCCCAGACUCCGUACGGGAGGCAG